CUAUAUAUCUGUAUGUAUUUGUUGUAAUGUUAAAAUUAUGUGGGAGCUACUUUUCAAUUAUUAUUUUUCUUUCAAAAUUACUAUUAAUAGAAAAAGGGAAGGGAGUAUAUCAUUAUCUUCCACUGGAACUUUCCAGCAGAACAAGAACCAACGUUACUACUAUGUUUCUUCCUCUAUUUUCUCUCUCUUCUCUUUCUCUCCUUUCAACAAGGAGAGUUAAAUUAAACUAUCAAGAAAGGAUUGUUAACGGAGAAGGGAUAACCUCAUUUUAAGGAUCAUAAGCUCAAGAAUGUUGUGACAACCUCAGAGAAUUUCAAGAAGUAAUUUAUAGUAUCUAUAGUUGGAAUUUGAGCUCUAAAAGAUUGAAUCUUUGGGUCGUUUGGAACCCGCAAAUCUACUUUAUCUAUGAAGUCCUCGAGAUUUCCUAUUGUAAGAUAAAGGGGCAGCCCGUUGUAUAUUGUGGAAUUCAGAAUUGAGUGUUUCUGUGAAUACAGGAUCAGAUGUAUCGAUGAGCAGACUUUUAUACUAGGCACUCGUCCGUAUUCAGCAAAGCAGUCGGUGAGCUCCUUUCUUACCUGUAGCGAAUAAAUAUCUAGUACUUUUUAAUUAUGUUUUCGGUUAUAGUUUGGGUAUGUUGGGGUCCAGCCCUGACCACCUUCUACGGUACAGUUACAAUUUCACUUAGAGGCUUCGUAGACAGUGUUUAGUUGUCAUACGUGGUCAUAGUUGUACAUAGCCCCUUUUCAUUAUUUGUAAAUUGCAACUCCUUCGCACAGUAUAUAUGUUAGCCACAUAACUGAUACUCAAAACGGUUCUUGUCCGCCAUGCCUAGGCUAGGCUAGGGGCGUGACAUCUACUUUCAUUAAUUGACUAACUUUGCCCUUUGUUG